CCUACGGGAGGCAGCAGUGAGGAAUAUUGGUCAAUGGACGAGAGUCUGAACCAGCCAAGUAGCGUGAAGGAUGACUGCCCUAUGGGUUGUAAACUUCUUUUAUAUGGGAAUAAAACGUUCCACGUGUGGGAUUUUGUAUGUACCAUAUGAAUAAGGAUUGGCUAACUCCGUGCCAGCAGCCGCGGUAAUACGGAGGAUCCGAGCGUUAUCCGGAUUUAUUGGGUUUAAAGGGAGCGUAUGUGGAUUGUUAAGUCAGUUGUGAAAGUUUGCGGCUCAACCGUAAAAUUGCAGUUGAAACUGGCAGUCUUGAGUACAGUAGAGGUGGGCGGAAUUCGUGGUGUAGCGGUGAAAUGCUUAGAUAUCACGAAGAACUCCGAUUGCGAAGGCAGUUCACUGGACUGCAACUGACACUGAGGCUCGAAAGUGUGGGUAUCAAACAGGAUUAGAUACCCCAGUAGUC
rnacentral:rRNA from 1 species